rnacentral:misc_RNA from 1 species
GUUUCCCUUAUUCACUAUCUUUCUGACACAAUAGUGUUAUUCAUAAGUUAAUGUUGCCUUUGCUUUAAUACCACAUGUAUGGAGUAGUCGGCACCGGCUUCCACCUUGACUUUAUUUAUGUAGAUUAAACAAGAGGACCAUGAUUGAAUUGAGUCCGUUUGGUAUUCUCCCUAAAUUGACUUCUUUUAGCUGGAACACUACUGCAGAUAUAUACGUUAGCCUGUAUCUGGACUGACUCUAUUGCGAUACUGUG